UGGAUUUCGAGGCAUUUGUGAAAGUUGUGGACUCUUGCCGUUCCGAGCUUGUGGCGCGGGAGCGCAAGAAGGCUGGUUUCACAGACGAGCGC
rnacentral:SRP_RNA from 14 species